rnacentral:rRNA from 1 species
CCCUUCGGAGGAAAAGGAAACUAACAAGGAUUCCCCUAGUAACGGCGAGUGAAGCGGGAUGAGCUCAAAUUUAAAAUCUGGCAGUCUAAGAUUGUCCGAGUUGUAGUCUAGAGAAGCGUUUUCCGCGUAGGCCUGUGUACAAGUCCCUUGGAAUAGGGCGUCAUAGAGGGUGAGAAUCCCGUCCUUGACACAGAUCAUCUAUGCUCUGCGAUGCGCUCUCGAAGAGUCGAGUUGUUUGGGAAUGCAGCUCAAAAUGGGUGGUAAAUUCCAUCUAAAGCUAAAUAUUGGCGAGAGACCGAUAGCGAACAAGUACCGUGAGGGAAAGAUGAAAAGCACUUUGGAAAGAGAGUUAAACAGUACGUGAAAUUGUUGAAAGGGAAACGAUUGAAGUCAGUCAUGUGGUUUGAGGUUCAGCCGGUUCUGCCGGUGUAUUCCUCAGACUACAGGCCAGCAUCAGUUUCGACCGGUGGAAAAAGUUGGAGGGAACGUGGCAUCCUCGGAUGUGUUAUAGCCCUCUUUCACAUGCAUCGGACGGGACUGAGGAACGCAGCGUGCCUUUAUGGUCGGUCUUCGGACACGAACGCGCUUAGGAUGCUGGCAUAAUGGCUUUAAACGACCCGUCUGAAAC